AAUACGAGUUGGCUUAUCGCGUCUGAGCAAUUGGGCGAGGAAAGUCCGGGCAGCAUAGGGCACCCUACUUCCUAACGGGAAGGAGGAUGGUUGGGAACGACCAUUCGACAGCCAGUGUCACAGAAAAUAUACCGCCAGAUUUGAGUUGUAGAGUUGUUCAGUCGGAAAGUUGUAAAGUUUUAUUAGCACAGCAAUAAACUUUAUAACUCGUUAACCUUACAACUUUACAACUCAACCUUGGUAAGGGUGAAAAGGUGGGGUAAGAGCCUACCGCCCAACGGGCGACCGGUGGGGCAGGAUAAACCUUAGGGGCUGAAAGACCAAAUAAGCGUCGGACGUGGGGCGGCUCGUUCCCGUUCUGGAGAAAUCCCAUCCGGGACGAUCCAGAUGCCGACGCGGGUAGGUCGAACGAGGUGGCCGGUGACGACCAUCCCAGAUAAAUGAUAAGCCAUUCCACGCUUGUGGGAGGACAGAACCCGGCUUAUAGACUCGUGUUGAAA
rnacentral:RNase_P_RNA from 1 species